CACGGAGUUAGCCGAUCCUUAUUCUUCCAGUACAUUCAGCUAAAUACACGUAUUUAGGUUUAUUCCUGGACAAAAGCAGUUUACAACCCAUAGGGCAGUCAUCCUGCACGCGGCAUGGCUGGUUCAGGCUUCCGCCCAUUGACCAAUAUUCCUUGCUGCUGCCUCCCGUAGGAGUCUGGUCCGUGUCUCAGUACCAGUGUGGGGGAUUCUCCUCUCAGAGCCCCUAGACAUCGUCGCCUUGGUAAGCCGUUACCCUACCAACUAGCUAAUGUCACGCGAGCCCAUCUCUAUCCUAUAAAUAUUUAAUCAACCGAACAUGCGAACUGUUGAUGUUAUGCGGUGUUAAUCUCUCUUUUCGAGAGGCUAUCCCCCUGAUAGAGGUAGGUUGCUCACGCGUUACGCACCCGUGCGCCACUCUCACCAUCUUCGAGCAAGCUCUCCGAUGGAUCCCGUCGACUUGCAUGUAUUAGGCCUGCCGCUAGCGU
rnacentral:rRNA from 1 species